rnacentral:RNase_P_RNA from 1 species
UCAGGGGGCCGGGCAAUCGCGGGCGGGCCGGCAGCAAUGCCGGUCUGCGCGAGGAAAGUCCGGGCUCCACGGAAAACGGUGCCGGAUAACGUCCGGCGGGUGCGCGUCUUCGGGCGGGCAUCAAGGGACAGUGCAACAGAAAGCAGGUCGCGCAGGCUUCGGCCCCGCGACAGUGAAAGGGUGCGGUAAGAGCGCACCGCGCGCGCCGGCAACGGCCGCGGCACGGCAAACCCCACCGGGAGCAAGACCGAAUAGGGGCGGCACAGGGUGGCGACACCCGCUUUUAUCCGGAAGGCCGCCCGGGUUGGUCGCUGGAGUGGCGGAGCAAUCCGUCGUCUAGAGGAAUGAUUGCCCAGCUUCGUUAGCGGAGUGGACAAAACCCGGCUUACAGGCCCCCUGACAAU